UGCAGUGGGAGGGAGCAGCACGGGAGGAGCCAGGGCGUCUCACAGGCACCUGCGGCCAUGGAGGGCUGUGGCGUGUGCUCUGUGAGCUGCGUCCCACAGGAAGGGCUUGCCAGACACCCUUUCUCCUCUGGCUCACCCUGCUCCCCACAGGCAGUGCCCCCGAAGUGACAGUGAGAUCACGUUGCCCUCUGUUUACGGUGCCCAAGGCUCCGCGGCCCAGGCCCGGCCCACCUCGCAGCCUCGCCCCACUGUCCUGGCCACAGGGCUCCUCACCCACGCUCUGGUUCUGGCUUCCUGGAACGCCCUUCCUUCCCUUUUCUGACUUGUGGACACCCGUGUGACCUUCAGGCUUUGCUCAAAUGCCCCUCACGUCUGCUGGACUGUGAUUAAGCACUGGAGGUCAGGGACCCGUCUGGUCCACGCGUGUGCCCCACUGUCCAGCCUGGUGCCUCGGCCGUGGGCGGGGCUGGGUGGGAACCCCCGCUUUGCCUGCAGAGCUGCUGCCUUGGAACCGCUGUUGGCUGGCCACGAGCCUGGCUCGGUGUGAGCUUCUGCACCAGGGGAGCCGCCCAGUCAUGUUCCUCCUGGCCUGUCCUGGCCCGGCCUGCACAGAGCAGGCGCUCACCAGAUGAGGGACGACCAACGAUUGAAGGCAACUGACCUGCCAUGGAAAGUGCUGUGUGCGCAGCCAACGCUCUACAAGAAGAGACAGGACGGCGUGGAGGCGCUGGGUGCGUGGGGGUCAGUCCCAGGCAGAGCGCACGGGCUCAGCCCAGAUCUCUGCGCAGGAGUCGGGGAGCACACCCAGAUAUACUGGGCAAAAUGGAAAUGCGUCUCUUGGGAACAGCACGUGAGCUGCUUGAAGGAGUCGAUGGGCUGAGGCGUGCAGUGUCGGUUUGAGGUGCCAAGUGUGGGAUGUGUCUCAACGCCACAGCCAGCUCCCGUGAUGGGCAUCACUGUUUGUGGCCAGGGGAUGGAUAAUCAAUACCUGAUGAAGAAACUGAGGGUCAGAGAGGCCAAGUGAUUUGGACCAGGGCAACAGCUGACAAGUGGAAAGGCCAGGACCAGGGCCCAGGAGUUCUGAUGCUAAGUGCAGUGCCUUACCUGCCACACCUCGGCUGCCAGCCCUCCCGACUCACCUCCCGCCAGAGAAGCAAGUCUUUGGCCAAGUUCAGAGUGAGGGGUUAGAGAGAUGGAGGCAGAGGAAGGGAGACCCACCCAGAGUCCUGGGAGGCGGGGCGGGGCAUUCCUGGAGAAUGCAGAGGGCCCUGCUGGUGGGGAACCAAGCAACAGAGGGAGGAGGCCCAUGCUUGGAGCCGGCAACGGUGAGGAAGUGGGGUCCCGGACUCCCCAGACUGUCCUUCCUGAGAGUGGGGCCGAGCACGUGGCCGGAGCAGCCGUGCAGCCCCCACCCCACGCGGCACGGGGCGAGUGGGCUCCGCACGGGCAUGCGCGGGAGGCCUGUUUGGCUGUGCGUGCUUGGGUGGGAGAGCGGCUCCCUUUUCGCCAAAUGACAAUGUUUUCUGUGUGCCUAGCGCCUCUGCUCCGGUCACCAGCUUAUCAGGAGUCCCAGGUCGGCCCUUCUGGCAGUUUGGGUGGUUCCAACAAACAGCUCAGGUCUCCAGCCCACAGGGACCGCUGGGCGGGCAGUGGUCACGCCGCACUCUUCCUGGAGCUGCUGGCGCUCGCCUCUGCCCUUCUGCACCAGCUCGGCUCUCCAGGGCGUCUGUCCUCAUGGGGGCCUUCCUGCAGGAAGGUGCCCAGAGGGGAGAGCUGACUGCGUGGCACUUUGUCCUGCUCCGGGCGGGCCGCAGGGAGCAGCCAUGGGUUUAUUCGCCAGAGGCGGAGAUGCGGGAGCACCGGGGAGGGAGAGGCCCCGCUUGGUCCUGGGUGGGAGCCCCUGCUGUUCCUCCUUGCAUCGCCAAGCACUUCCUCUGUGCCACGCCUGGGGCUGAUCCCAGAGAGUCCAGGCCGCCUAAGCCGUGGCCUCUGACCCCAGAGAGCCCGCGGGCCCUGCUGUGGACACUCAGCUGCUUCCCAGCACUCCCAGAGCCCCCACUAACAGCCGGUCAGUGCCUGGCUCUGAGGAAAGUCUCCUCCUCAUUUGGCAGACAAGGAAGCUGAGGCUCAGAGAGUGUGAGCAACUUGCCCAAAGUCACACAGCUACAUGCACGGUCUGCAGCAUCCUCCCUUUAAGAAGCCAGGCGCGCCCCGCCCCCGCCCCCGUUUCCCCACCAGCCAGCUGAUCCGGAGACUGUAGCAGGCAGCGCCCUGUCCUGUGUGUCAGUUACACAUUCCCAGAGAGCCGCCAGAGUCCCCAGGCUGCGCGGAGCUCCAGACACCAGCGGCAUGGCCUUGAAGGAAGGGGCUGGCGACCUCCCGCCCAGGCACUCUCAUGCCCCGACUUUCUGUGCUGAUGUGGGCAUGCUGAUCUAUCAACCAGAAUAUGAGACUAGCUGGGGAAAUGCCACUCCUUGCCCAUGUUAGCAGCGUAAGUACAAUUCUACUUAACUCACCAUCUCUCGAAUGGUGCUGCUGGCCUGCUGCAUUUGUGCAGUGUCUGCAUCUGCACACAGACCCCGACCCAAGCCUUCCGCCCUGCAGCGAUGGCCUUCCUGCUCCCCUAGGUCUGCGGCUCACAGCCUCUACCUCCAAGUGCCAUUUCCUUGCUGGGAGCCUCGUGCCCGGCAGGGCAUGUCUGGCGCAAGGCAGACGGCUGGGCCCUCCAGCACCUUCCUCUGCUGGUCUGAGGAGUCCAUCCAGGGGGCUCCUGGUGGGAGCGCUGAGGCUGUGGGCUCAGUCAGCAACCCGGGCAGAGCCCUAGAGCCCGGCGGGAGCUCAGUUACAGUUCUAAAGCUUUCCUUUCCUCAGUCUUCUGUCAGACGGGAAAGGCAGGGCUGCAGCUGCACAGGGCAGCAAGAGCAGUGUGGGGACUGGGCAGGCUUACAGGCUAAGGAGCCUCGUUUGGGGACUGAGGGUGCCCAGGAAGGGAAGGCAGAGCUGCACACUGAGCAGGUCCCAGCUCAGCCCGUCCCAGGUCCUGUUUGUGUGCUGCACACCUACAGAGCCUUUUCAUCCAGGCAGUGAGUAGCAGACCGGGAGUUCAGUGCAGGCCGUCCAGCUCCAAGCUCUGCGCUCUCUAGAACAGGACAGGACGCACAGGGAAGGAGACGCUGCCCACUCAUCUAUGACAAGUCCAUUAAUUUGCACAGAUUCCACUCAGGCUUCACACCUUACCCAAACCUUCCUGAAAGCCUGCUCUUGCCAACGCCCCAGCACGACUGGGCCCUGCUCUCCCCUGCCUGCCUUCAUCUCCUGUUCCUGCUUACAUUCUCAGUUCAAGCCCCAUCCCGCUGUGAGCUCCCCAAAGGCAGGUCUAUGCCUGGGGUGGGCCAGACUGGGGCUGCAUCCUUAAAUGCCAGUGAUAUAAAUGCACUGAGGGGCCGAGGGGAGCAGGGCAAAGGGGGCCAGGUGGGCCAGAUCCCACCAAAGGGAGCAGCCGCUACACAAUUGUUGCCAAGCAGACAAACAGGACUCAGGUUGGCAGGUCUUUGCCAGAGAAGCCAGAAAUCAGAUUUUUUUUUAUAUACAAAAACCUCCAUAAUCUUAAAUGUUGGCAACAAAUGUAAAAGACUCUACAGAUGCGCUGAGAGGGAACCAGGCCUGCCAGUUGCUACUUGUGAACCUGGGUUCAGCCAUUGCGACGGUCUCUGUCCACUUGCAAAGUCUCUCCCUCGCUGGCAGGCCUCGCUCUGCCUGGCGUGGAGCAUGCAUUCGGCCCAUCUUGUUGGAGCUACACAUGUCAGGGAAGCACAGCCCAGCCCCUCCUGUGGGUGACCCAGGGACCUGUCCUGGGUCGUGCCCACAGCCCCUCCUCCACAGCCCAGCAGGAUGAGGCGGAUGCUGUCAGAAGAAGCCACCCCUGCUGGGCAGGCACACCCCAGAGGGACAGAGAUUCAGUUAAGGCCUGGUUCACAGGAGUGCUAAAAACCUCCCUCCAGAGAACCAUCUUCUGCUAUGGAUUUUUAAGACCAGCGGCUGGAGAAUCACUCCCUGUUUUUCACUUUUGGUGCUGUGUCUCUAGUCAAUAAACAAAUGGGAAAUAAAGGAUUUGCAAGAAAAUAGAAUGCAGUCAAAAGGUAAAUUGUGGGCUUUAGAGCCCCUAAGAGCCUGGCACAGACUUGGAAAAGUUCCCUAGCUGGACGCCAUUUCCUCCCUGGGCCUGGCUCCUGGCCCGCCGCCCCUCUGCCGGUGACCUUCAGCCCUGACUUCCCUCGGGUGCGUUUCGCUGGUGUGGGGACUAAACAGGCUGUUGCAUUACAGUAGCAACACCAGCAUUUCACCUGCCUUCACCAUAAUUAUCUUUCCGUCUUGUCAGUGGAACCUGUUUAAUAAGAUUUAUAGUUGGUGGGAGCUGGAGUGAGCCUGUGUGUGGCUCAGAUAAUUGGCCAAGCUGAUUUCCCCUCAUUGGGUGUCACCAAUAUAAAAACAUGAACUAAAAGCACUAUAGCACUUAAGUAAUAAUAAUGUCAACAUUUCACCUGUCUGCCCCUUAAUUAUUUUCCUCCUUCACUCUUGCCACCUGAGCCUGCUUCGAUAAGAUAGCCACACAGAUAAAACCAAGGGCUCUCAUUAUCUUAGGCAGAUAAGCUGUUGUCUUUUCUGUGGUUCCAUUUGGAAAGGAGCUUUGCUGGCAGAAAGGCGUUCCCUUAGAUCUUCCUUGGGGGGGUGUAAGAACCAUGGAUCCUGGGUGGACCAAAGGCAAAGGGGAAGGAAGGCAGGCACUGCACAAGUGCACGUGGGCACUGUGUGGGUACAUGGCCUGGAAGACAGGUGGCACCAGAUGCUGGAAGCAGAGGAAGGACCAUCUCUGUACACCUGCUCUUCCUCCAGGUGCUCCUAGGCAGGGGUGAAUGGGGUUUCAUAGGUUUAGGGGGAGGGGUUCUGAUUAUAUGUUCCACUAGGCAAGGCCCUAGUUUGGUAUAAAAGCACCCGGGUAGUCCUAGCUUCACACUUUAUAGCUAGUUAGCUUAGUGGCCACAGGGAAGUAGCCCAACUCUUCUGGGCCAUAGUUUUCUAAAAACAAAGAGGUGGGCUGCUAUGGACAGAACGUUAGCAUCCCUGACACCCCACAAAUUCAUAUGUUGAAACCCUAACCUGCAAUGUGAUAUUUUGAGGUGGGGCCUUUAGGAGGUAAUUAGGGUUAGGUUAGGUCAUAAGGUUGGUACCCUUCUGAUGGAAUUAGCGACCUUAUUAAAAGAGGAAGAGACGGGAGACACCUCUCCCUCCCUCUCUUUCCCCCUCUCUCUCUCUGUACCAAGGAAAAGCGGUGUGAAGACUUAAGCAGGAAGUGGGCUCACACCAGAAUCCAGCCACGCUGAGGGCACCCUGAUCUCAGACUUCCAGCCUCCAGAACUGCUCAUUCCUGCUUUCGCCGCCACCGGCUGCAGCUCCCCUGAUGUGCGCCACUCCUGAGAAAGCCGCGCCGCCACGCCACCCAGUGUGUCUGCCCCGCCCGGCUGGGCUUGCUUUCUCAUUCCUUUCAUCGCAAGCCAGAGGAGGCUCAAAGGAGGUUUCUGAGACCGGCCCCAGGUUCCCGCCGCCCCUCCAGAAGUUGAGCUGAGCUUGGUAAGUGGCCACCAGCUGCCGCGUGUGGACCCAUGUGCCUGGUGUGUUUGGCCAUGUAGAUCUGCAGACAGCCUGACACACUCUCAAGGAUCCCGUCUCUGAGCCGCCGUGCGCCCAUCCACUGGCAAGCUGCACAACCCAGCUGCUGGCCCGGUUGUCGAGCCUUCACAACACUUGCUGCUGGGUGGCCCUGCUCCACCCACGCCCACGCCUGGCAGACUCCUACAUGAGUGGCUAUGAGCUGCUGCCAGGAGCCCUUUGCAUCUCCUGCGCCUCAGUUUCUCAUCUGGGGCAACAAUCCCUGUCCCAGAACAGCGUCAGAAACAGCUGAGGUUAUGUGUGUGCAAGAGCUUUGAGAGCUGCUGUAAACCGCUUUGCAAAUGUGAGCUCUUAUUACUUGUGUGCAAGGCCUGGUUCCCAGCUGCCCUGACCCUCAGCAACACCUGCCAGAGGAGAGAGCCUGCCAGGCUGGACUCUGUGUCAGAAGUAGGCAGUGCAAGAGGUCACCGAGCCCAUUUCCCUGCCUUCAGGCAGGAUGUUCCAGGGUCCUGGACUCCUGGGAAGGCAAGAUGAAGACAGACCAAGGGAAAAGAUAUGGCAUGGAAUAAGGACCUAAAAUGAACUUUCCUAGGAGUGACCCAAGAGCUGGGAUUCCCAGGGGGCAGCAAGGGGUGGGGAAGGCACCAGGGUCACUGGUGGCCCCAUGGAAACUUGGACCACAGAGAAUCCACUCCAGGCUGCUGCUACAGGGGCGUGGACAGACAGGGCUUGUCAGCACUCCAGGAAGGCUAGCUCAGAAGGAAGGUCCCAUGGACUGUGCCACACUCCCCUGGCCUAGAUAGUACGCGCACAGAGUGUUUUCCCAUUGAAUAAACAAGCACUAGGAGCCCUUAUUAGCUUCACGAGGUGCAGACACACCUGAGCAGGACAGAGGCAUAGUCAGUUGGUCUUUGGCUUUCUGAUUUCCCAGGCCAGGAGCCUUUGCUUGUCGCCUUUGCAUGGGGUGGUAUGGACACCAUGGGAAGAGGAGUAGCUGGAGCCUUGUGGGAUGAAGUCCAGCCGGGGGUUCUCCCCAGUCUGGCUGGAGGGACCCUCCUGGAGCUGAGCCCUUGGUGCCCCCACGAGCAGCUGGC